rnacentral:rRNA from 1 species
CACCGCGGUUAUACGAGAGGCUCAAGUUGAUAGCUAUCGGCGUAAAAUGUGGUUAUCAUAAAAUUGCACUAAAGCUAAACAUCUUCAAAGCUGUUAUACCCAUAUGAAGACAGGAAACACCCCUACGAAAGUGACUUUAAACAAUGCUCUCCACGAAAGCUAGGAGA